rnacentral:rRNA from 1 species
AAGAUGUAACGGGGCUCAAACUGGAUACCGAAGCUGCGGCUGCAUACUAUGUAUGCGGGGUAGGGGAGCGUUGUGUAAGUCUGUGAAGGUGUGUUGAGAAGCAUGCUGGAGAUAUCACAAGUGCGAAUGCUGACGUGAGUAACGAUAAUGGGAGUGAAAAACUCCCACGCCGAAAGACCAAGGUUUCCUGCGCAACGCUAAUCGGCGCAGGGUGAGUCGGCCCCUAAGGCGAGACCGAAAGGUGUAGUCGAUGG